AGGACUGUAGCUAAGUGGUAGAGCAUCUGUUUUGCAUACAAAAGGUCCCUCCUUCAAUCCUCAGGUAGGGAAUCCUG